rnacentral:lncRNA from 1 species
CGGCAAUGGUGCUUUUGACGGUUGGAAGGCUUCUCCGAGUCUUUAAGAGAAACCGAGCAAUGGCGAUUGCACUGCGUAGAUUCAUCUCUGCCUCUCUUUCCCUCAACCGUAAUUUCCACAACUUCGCUAUCAUAUACUACCUCCAACUUCACUGCCACCAAUGCUACUGAGUAUUUCUAGAGCGAGGAUGAGGAUGUUGUGCUCUAACUCGGGUAAAGCCCACCAAUUUCAGGAUUGAGAUAAUGGUUUCGAAGAAAUGUGGGAAAGGGGCUGAAUCUUGGGAGUUUAGGUGGUGGAUUGUAUGAAUUAUGUGCCAUCUAGCAUGGAUAGCGUGUCACUAGAAUUCAAU